UUAAAGGAAUUGGCGGGGGAGCACCACAAGGGGUGGAUGCUACGGUUCAAUUGGAUACAACGCCAGGAACCUCACCACAGGCGACAGCAGUAUGAAGGCCAGACUGAAGAUCUUGCCUGACAAGCUGAGAGGUGCUGCAUGGCCAUCAUCAGCUCGUGGUGUGAAUCCUACACCAAGUAGGAGCACAAACUGUCUGGUUAAGUCCAGCAACGAGCGAGACCCAUACCUUUAGUUGCCAACUCUGUCUCCGGGCGGGGUGCACUCUAAAGGGACUGCCCGUGUUAAAUGGGAGGAAGGANUGGGCGACGGUAGGUCAGUAUGGCCCGAAUCCUGUGGGCUACACGCGGCAUACAUUGGCCGG
rnacentral:rRNA from 1 species